UACGUAGGGUGCAGGCGUUAAUCGGAAUUACUGGGCGUAAAGCGUGCGCAGGCGGCUCUUUAAGUCAGAUGUGAAAGCCCCGGGCUUAACCUGGGAAUUGCGUUUGAAACUGGAGAGCUGGAGUGUGGAAGAGGGGGGUGGAAUUCCUGGUGUAGCGGUGAAAUGCGCAGAUAUCAGGAGGAACACCAAUGGCGAAGGCAGCUCGCUGGGACGGUACUGACGCUGAGGCGCGAAAGCGUGGGGAGCAAACAGG
rnacentral:rRNA from 1 species